rnacentral:rRNA from 1 species
UUUCAGAUAUGUUUUAAUCUGGCUCAGGAUGAACGCUGGCGGUCUGCUUAACACAUGCAAGUCGAACGGAAUCCUUCGGGAUUUAGUGGCGGACGGGUGAGUAACACGUGAGAAUCUGCACUCAGGAUGGGGACAACAGCGGGAAACUGCUGCUAAUACCCAAUGUGCCGAAAGGUAAAAGAUUUAUCGCCUGAGAAUGAGCUCGCGGCCGAUUAGUUAGUUGGUGGGGUAAUGGCCUACCAAGACGGCGAUCGGUAGCUGGUCUGAGAGGAUGAGCAGCCACACUGGGACUGAGACACGGCCCAGACUCCUACGGGAGGCAGCAGUGGGGAAUUUUCCGCAAUGGGCGCAAGCCUGACGGAGCAAGACCGCGUGGGGGAGGAAGGCUCUUGGGUUGUAAACCCCUUUUCUCAGGGAAGAAGUUCUGACGGUACCUGAGGAAUCAGCCUCGGCUAACUCCGUGCCAGCAGCCGCGGUAAUACGGAGGAGGCAAGCGUUAUCCGGAAUUAUUGGGCGUAAAGCGUCCGUAGGUGGUGGGGCAAGUCGGCGGUUAAAGACUGGGGCUUAACUCCAGAAAGGCCGUGGAAACUGCACCACUAGAGGGCAGUAGGGGUAGAGGGAAUUCCCGGUGUAGCGGUGAAAUGCGUAGAGAUCGGGAAGAACACCAGUGGCGAAAGCGCUCUACUGGACUGCAACUGACACUCAGGGACGAAAGCUAGGGGAGCGAAUGGGAUUAGAUACCCCAGUAGUCCUAGCCGUAAACGAUGAACACGGGCCAG